GUACUGCCAGACUUGGAACCGGGAGAGGUAAGAGGUACGUACAGGGGUAGGGAGGUGAAAUCUUGUAAUCCCUCGUGGGACCGACCUCGUGGCGAAGGCGUCUUACCAGAACGGGUUCGACGGUGAGGGACGAAAGACUGGGGCGACGAACCGGAUUAGAUACCCGGGUAGUCCCAGCCGUAAACGAUGCUCGCUAGGUGUCAGGCAUGGCGCGACCGUGUCUGGUGCCGCAGGGAAGCCGUGAAGCGAGCCACCUGGGAAGUACGGCCGCAAGGCUGAAACUUAAAGGAAUUGGCGGGGGAGCACAACAAAACCGGGUGGAGCCUGCGGUUUAAUUGGACUCAACGCCGAACAACUCACCGGGGCGACAGCAAUAUGUAGGCCAAGCUGAAGACUUUGCCUGAAUCGCUGAGGGGAGGUGCAUGG
rnacentral:rRNA from 1 species